CAAAAACAUAGCUAUGUGGCAUUACUCAUAGUAUUUUCUGCUCAAUGAUUUUUAAAUAGCCGCAGUACCCUGACUGUGCAAAGGUAGCAUAAUCAGUUGGCUUCUAAUUAAAGUCUUGUAUCAAUGAACAUAUGGGGGUCUACUUUACCAGUAAUACAUAAUGAAGUUACUUAGAGGGUGCAAAUACCCUUACAUUUUAAUAGACGAGAAGACCCUAGAAAUUUUUACAAACGUUUUUGUUGGGGCAACAUAGUAACAGAAAAAUUUACUCUAUCUACAGGAAAAGGAUUAGGAAGCAUAAAUUACUCUAGGGAUAACAGCAUAAUGUAUAAUCGUUUGUGACCUCGAUGUUGGAUUAGGAAGUUAUAGUCUAGAAGGCGUUUAAUUAUGCUCUGUUCGAGCA
rnacentral:rRNA from 1 species